AGCCAGCCCUUGGUAAGCUGAGGAGGCUGGGACUGUUGUUCACCCAACCUGUGCUCUGUUUGGAGAGGAGUAAUGGGGAACAAAGUACAGACGAAGCCUUAGGGGCAGGGAGCGCUCGAACAGAAGCAGUAGCUAGCGUCAAGCAGAGGUCUGCAUGUCAGAGACUCAUGUUUGGGCAAAUCAAGUGCUUGGAACUCUAGGGCUGGCCAGCAUACCCUGCCCACCCUUCCAUUCCCCAGCAGUCAGUGUUCUGCCAGACCUCUGUGGGGACUGGGAGGACCAUGAGCCAGCUUCGUGCAGCAUGCUUCUCCUAUAACCAAAGAUGCUAGACUUCAUGGGGGUUAGGGAGAACCUAGACUAAGUUGGAGCUAGUAGGACCCCAGGAGGAGGCUCUCGUGUCCCAGAGGUCUCAAGGAGGCUAUGGCUGGGACCCUUUGCUUGAAUUUGUUGAGAGCUACUUUGUGCAAACAUGGAGCCAGGCUUGGGGAAACCAGACAAGAAAUGGCACAGUAGGGGUUCUGGGAAGAGAGGGGUAAGGUAUAAUAAAAGAGACGUGGAAAAAAGCAAACCUCCCAAGAAUACAAGAGACUUGCUGGUGGUGGCACAUGCCUUUAAUCCCAGCACUCGGGAGCCAGAGGCAGGCAGAUCUCUGUGAGUUCGGAGCCAACUUGGUUUUACAGCACUAGUUCCAGGAUGGCCAGGGCCACAUAGAGAAGCCCUGUCUCGAAACAAACAAAUACAAGAGAGGCACAGGAACUCACAAGAGAUUUACCAACACUCACCACACUCUUCUCUGGGUUAUAUAAGCAGUAACCAAUUGCUGGAGACAAGGGGAUGCUCCAGCAUCUUUGACUGCAACCAGGAAACUCAAGCAGCUUCCAUGACUCGUCACCCAGGCUGAUGUCACCUAGGCUGAUGUCACCCUGGCUGAUGUGGGCCUCAUGAUUCAGCUGCCUGAGUCACCUACACUUUUGUAAGUAACCCUUACAUUUUAUAGUUUUCUCAUUGUCAUGACAAACCACCCAUCCAAAGUAAUUCAGUGAAGCGUACAGCCUGUUGCAGAGUGACAUCAUGGCAGCAGGGAUAUGAGGCAGCUUGGUCAUGUUAUGCCUGCUGUCAGGAAACAGAAGGAUGACCUCACUCUCCCUUUCUUCGUUUAUUUCAAGAACGCAGCCCACGGGAUGGCGCUGUCCACCUGUAGGGACUGUCUUCCCACCUCAGUCCGAGUCUAGAGACUUCCUUCCUCUCAGACAAAAUGCGCAAAGGCUUGUUUCCAUGGUGGCUCCAAAUCCCAUCAAGUCAGUUAAGAUCAAUUACCACAUACCCACGCUUCUACCAGCCAUUCUAGUAAACUCAUUGGUUCACAAGCUAGACUUGAAUUUCCUCUUUGAUCUGUCAUUAAUGUCCUGCCUGUGGUGACCAGAUAUUUGUUCAUGUUCCCCAGGAAAAGCUAUGCAAUACCUGUGUGGUUCAGACAAAGUCUAGAGAGACUGGGCUGAGGGGGUUUGGAGGAGGACUGUCAGGAUCAAACUGCAAACGACUUUGGGAGAAAGCCACAUAGACUUCUAGCAGGAAACAGGAUGCAUGUAGCUUGUGGUCACUGACUGAGUCUCAUAACCUGUGCUGUUCUGUCCUGUGGAUGUGCAGCCUCUCUGAAUCUGCUUUGUGGGAGCAAGGUCGGGUCCCACUUGGAGGCCUUUCUGGCUGUCUCAGGGCUGGACAGUUUGGAGGUGUGGUCCUUUGCUGGGGUUGGACAGGUUAAGACUGUAGACAUGCUAUGCCCACUUCCUGCAAGGUGCUCUCCCUACAGUGUCCCCUUGGCAGCAGAGUUUGUGAUCCAAGGUGUAGACUGUGGGUCAGCACCUGGGGGAAAAAGAAGAGGGGCCAUGAGAGUUUCCCACACUGGGGCAAGCUAGCUGCUUCACUUGGAUGGAUGUGGCUGGGGGAGACUUCAACGGGAGACUCACAGUGGGGGACCAGCUACUGAUUAUCCCCAGCUGGACAAUAAGGCUUUCUGUCUCUCCCAGGCUACUCUUGGCUAUGAUCUGCGCCUACCUAAUCAUCCCAACUCAUUCUCAGCCGCGAGUAUCAAGAGUAUCUGUAGUAGAGUCUGAAGGUAGUGUCUUUCAUCUGUCUGUCUUUCUCUGUGUUUGUUUCUCUCCUUCCUUCACCCCUCUCCCUCUUUCUCCAUUCCCCCUUCCUUCCCUCCCCUCUCUCCUAUCUAAGAUGAGUUCUCAUUCUGCUAUCCAGGCUGGCUUUAGACUCUUGAGCUCAAGUGAGCCUUCUUCAGUUUCCCACGUGCAGAGGUCCCAGGCCUGUACCAUCGUGCCAGCUUUGGUAUAGUCAUAAUUUUUUUCUUGUAAAUAUGGAAUAAUGCAUGGAUUUGCAUGUUGUUCUUGGGCAGGGGACCAUGUUAAUCUCUGCAUUUCACUCUCUGUGCUGUGGAAGCAAGAAUGGGAUAUUCUUUCUUUAGAGUGGAAAAAUGCUAUCUAGUGAGAUGGAUCAGCAGGUAAAGCCUUGCAAACUUGGUAACCCAAGCUAGGCACAUGGAUCCUACAUAAAGGUGGAAGGAGAGAGCUGACUCUACAAAAUUGUCCUCUGAUGUCUACACAUGCUGGUUAGUGUGUGGAAAGGGGCUAUGGGGCUUUGUCCUCAGGGUAGACACCUCAUCCUUUCUUACCUCCUUGGAGAUUCCUAGUGAGGCUGGCUAAAUUACUGUCCAGCUCCAGAGUUUGACCUGUCCCUGGGUUGUGGCUUGUAUAGGAGAGCCAGGGUUAGAAGCCCUGAAGUGCGGCCUCCCACUGGCUGUUUGAUCUGUCCAGCAGCUGACUUGCAGACUCUACUUCUCCCAUGAAUGACCACAGGUGAGUGGAUGCCUGUCAAGUAAAAAGGAUAAGGUCAGAGAACACCAGCCUUUCUCUGCUUGGUGGAUUUUGUAGGCUUCGGUAUCUGCAAGGUUUGGGUUCGGGGUCAGGAUGUAGGAGAAUGUGAAGAACAUGAACUUUGGCCUCUAGGUAUAGGAAACAGGAACAGAAAACUAUGUGUAUGUGAGUCCACCUUUGGUGUGUGGCACAGGAGCUAGCUGGAUUAGAUUGCUGCCCAGAUGCUAACCUUGGACAGGUGACACUAAUGGCCAUAUAUCAGAUGGUUCAGGUGGAUGAUGACCAAGAUUUCACACAGAGUGGAAAUGCCACUUGCUACCUGCCACUCCUGAGCCCUAUCCCUCUCUCACAGAUUGGUGCAUAGGAUUGGCUACACACACACACACACACACACACACACACACACACACACACACACACACAUUAAUAUAUAUUAAUUAAUUAAAGCAAUUAAAUUUAAUUGGAUAUUUUUUAACUAAUUUAUUUACAUCAAAUGUUGCUCCUUACCAGGUCUUAAGCAAUGGGGAUCCAGCCUGUGUUUGCGCCUGUACUCUACUCUAGACACAGGCAUCUGGGGUAGAGGUGGGAGCUCUACCAAAGACUGAGGUAGGACCGAGGUUCUCAGGGCUCCUUAGUUUACUCUUGGAGAAUGCUGUCUUUGCAGUGACCCAACCCAAACCCCUUUGCUGAUGGGUCUGGCAGGACCUGGUAUCAUCCAGACGAUGUAAGUACAGAACAAAAUAAAGCAAGUAAUGUUUAAUAAGACCUUGCAAUAUGGGGUUGGGGAUUUAGCUCAGUGGUAGAGCGCUUGCCUAGCAACCGCAAGGCCCUGGGUUCGGUCCCCAGCUCUGAAAAAAAGAAAAAAAAAAAGACCUUGCAAUAUAGGUGGUAGCUUAUGUGGCCAGCCACUUUUAGCUCCCUCAGCUUCCUUUCUGAAAAAUGCACAAGUAUCCUACUCAUGGGUAUGCUAUUUUGAGGUUGGAAAGUUUCCUAUAAAUGCUAGGGCUAUGCCUGGUGCAUUGUAUGUGAUCAAUAAGAGCUGGAUAUUGGGUAGGGAAGUAGCUCAGUGUAGGAGUGCUUGCCCUGGGUUCAAUCUCUAGCAAUACACAUGCACGCACGCACGCACGCACACACGCACACACGCACACACACACACACACACACGUGCACAUAUGUGCACAGGUAAACACACACACAAAUACAUAUGCACACACAUGCAUACACAUAUAAAUCUGCACACACAGGCAUACCCAUGCACAUGUACACACACACACACACGUGCACAUGUGUGCACAGGUGAACAUACACACAAAUACAUGUGCACACACAUGUACACACAUAUACACCUGCACACACACAGGCACACCCAUGCACAUGUAUACACCCAUGCACAUGUAUACACACAUACACACAAAUACAUAUGCACACACAUGCACACAUACAUAUACACCUGCACACACACAGGCACACACAUGCACAUGCACACACACAAGUGUACACAUGUACAUGUGUACACAGGUGAGCACCCACACAAAUACAUAUGCACACACAUACAUGUGCACACACAUGCAUACAGAAGCACACGCAUACAUAAAAUGGCUAGCCCAAGCAUUCACCUCAGUAUUCUAGAUUCUUUCUUUCUUUUCUCUGGGUCUGAUGUAGCCCAGGCUAUCCUCUAACUUGCUCUAUAGCCAAAGAUGACCUUCAACUUCUGAUCUUUCUCCUUCUACCUCCCGAGUGCUGGAACUAUAGGCAUGUGCAGCCACACAUAGCCUGGUGCUCUGAAUUCCCACAAAAGAUAUCCAAUAGAUAAGAAAUGUUUAUUCAUCAAAUGAAUGAAUGAGAUUAAUGAAAUACUGAAUUAUAGGAUAAAAUCCAAAGUAACUCAGCAGAAAGGGACCGGGAAAACUUCAGUUCACCUGGGAAGUGACAAACAGCAAAUUCUAGCUUUGAGAUCCCACAGAUGUUGGGCUUAUCUAUCUCACAAGGACUUUUCUUUGGAGACUCAGUUGUGUAAUGUGAUGUUUUUCUGGAAACUGUCUUAUGAGAGGAUGUUUUCGCUGAAGCAGACACGUGGGAGGGCUGAGAACAGACACGGUGUUUUUCUGGAGGCAGCCUGGAAAAAGGGCAUGCAAUGUUUUGCUAGAGCUGAGGCUUGAGAGAACACGUGAUGUUUGGGGAGGGUAUAAAAAUAACCCAACAGACAGUAGACGACACUGCAUGGUAUUGGUUCCCUUUGCCCUCUUUGCUGGCCAUUGUAUGUUGUGACUUCAAAGAGAGAAAUGCAGCAAAGAACUUCUGGUGGUGUCCUGGCAGCUUCUUACCAGCUUCCAAGUACUCCGGCUGAUUGGCAGGCCAUGUGGUUUCUUCUGGAUUGAACUGCCAUUGCUGAUUCUCAUGGUGUUUGCAAGUAUAUCAAGCUACCAUUCCUGAUUUGUGUGAAUUUAACUGCUGGUAUCCUGACAAUGCAGAUUGGGUUUGCUCCAAAGAACUAUUUCUAAACAGGUCCACAUCCUCCUUUGCCCUAUUAACCUUUCCUUUCCACUGCCUCAGGUGGGGGGAUGGGCUCAAAGCAAGGUUAAGGUAUUUAAGUAGGUUUUGGGGCUGUAGAGAUGGCUCAGCAGUGAAGUGGAAACUUAAGGGUUCUUGGAAAAGUUGGAUGAAUGGUGGUUUGCCGGGGGCAAACACAUGAAGGAAUAUUUAGCUGAAGCAGACACAGGAGAAAGGAUGUUCUUCUAAAGCAAGCACAUAAAAGGACUACCUUAUAUUGCAUAGUUGAACUGCAUCUGUUGGGACUCCAUAGAGAGAAAUGCACUAAAAAUCUUCUGGUGAUGUGCUGCAGUUUCUUGCCACUUCUAUGGACUUGAGCCGAUUGGCAGAGUGAAGUCAGCUGAGACAGAUGCAUGUGCUGAGGCAAGACACAUGGAGGACACGUGAUGUGUGGAGGGUUUAAAUAGGACUCACGGGACAGUGACUGAGGCUGAGCUAGGCUUGCUCAUGGAGAUAGCUGUGCAAUGCUUGUCGGUGUAGUGAGAGCUUUUGACUACAUCAGGAAUGGGCCCCGCUUCCACCCACCCAGGGAAUCUCUGGAUCUGCAGAUGAAACACACACACACACACACACACACACACACACACACACACACACACUAGCCCAUUUUUUAACCCGCCUUACUGGCUCAGUGGCCAACCCUCCUGGGGCUAGUGUGCCCUUCCCUUUACUCUUAGCUCAAUACCUCUAAGCCUGCCCUUAGCUUAGUUGCCCGGUUAUGGUCUGUGAAGCCCAUUGGUCUUGCUGCCUGAGAUGCUUUCGGUCUGCCCUUCCGUGGGCCACUCUCCCUUUUCACCUGCAUUCUGUAAGCUCUCCCCUGAAACUCCGAGUCUGUUCUGUCUCUCUCCCCCAAGUAUCUUGAUUCUUCUCUUCCUGUCUUCUCCUCUUUCUUAGCCUGUGGGAAUCUGGAAGUCCCACCUUUUUCUUUCUGCCCAGCCAUUGGCCACUGACAUCUUUAUUGAUUGAUCAAGAACCUAUUGGGGACAAGGACCUUAGGGUAUAGACAUGUAGGUUCCCAAUCAACGCAUCAGAACCACCCCCUACAAGUUGGUCUUGUGUCUUUGCUGAGAGAAGCAGAGCCAAGAACUUUUCCUGGCACCCCUCUGGGUCCCUCUUGCUGAGGCUGAGGCCUGGCUGUCUCUGCUAGAUAGUGCCACUGCUGCUGAUUCGUGUUUCCUGCCUCGACUCUACCGGACUGUACUGCCGAUAUAUCUGUGAAGUGUUUGUGAUAUAUCUGUGAAGUGUUUGCGAUAUAUCUGUGAAGUGUUUGCGAGUGGAUUGAGCUGCCGAUGCUGACCUGUGAACUGAACUGCCCAUUUCCAGACAACACAGACAGGAGUGGCUCCAAAGAACCUUUCUACACAGGUCCACUUCACCCGUAUCCUUUUUUUCCACCUCUGGUGGGUGGUGGGCUACAAGAGAGGUUAAAGUGUUUAAGAACCAUCAUUAAAAAUAGGCAUUUGAAAAAAUUGAAGCCACACAGGAGCUAAGAGCACUGACCGCUCUUUCGGAGCACCCGAAUUAAAUUCCCAGCAACCACAUGGUGGCUCACAACCACCUGCAGUGGGAUCCGAUGCCCUCUCCUGGUGUGUCUGAAGACAACUACAGUGUACUCAUAUACAUAAAGUAAAUAAAUAAUCCUCAAAGUAGGGUUAGAAAAAUCUAAGCCUACAAGAUGUUAAAGCAAUGAUUGUAAAAACAUGCAUCAAGCAAACAUGAACACAUACAAUAAUGGAGUCAGGACUGGAUGAAACUCAAUGUCCAUUCAUGACAAAUGCUCUCUACAAAGUAGUACCAGAAAAGAGCACCUUCAGUCUAGUAAGGGGCGUGGAUAAAGUUUGGGCAACAAGACAUGCACUGGUUGCAGGAAGGGACUCUUCACUCUCACCACAAUCUUUCUAUACCCACGAGUCUUAGCCAGAAAAACAAAACAAGGAAACAAGAGGCAUGCGGAUUACAAAUGGAGAUGUAAAAUUAUCACUAUUAACAGGUAAUGGUAAUUGCCUUUGUAGGGGGUCUCAAGGAAUCUAUGAAGAAGGUAAUCAGAUGGACAUUGAGGGCAGCAAGAUCGAAAGACACAAAGCUAACACACAAAAUCAAUGUGCUGGGGCUUAGCGGUUAAAGAGUACUGACUGCUCUUCCAGAGAUCCUGAGUUCAAAUCCCAACAACCACAUGGUGGUUCACAUCCAUCUGUAAUGGGAUCUGAUGCCCUCUUCUGGUGUGUCUGAAGACAGCAUCGGUGUAUUCACAUAUAUAAAAUAAAUAUAUCGUUAAAAAAAAAAAGCACCAGAACCAGUGCAAAGUGGGCAGCAGAGAUGGCCGUGACCCAUGGAGCCUCACAUGGUGAUGAGGAUGAGGAAGCUGUUUGUCAAACAGAAGAGCCAAGAACCAUGACCUCAGACCAGGCAAAAUCCACAAUAUCACAGAAAAACGACUGCUUAAGAGAGAGAACUGGAAGGAGCCUGCGAUCACAGGAUGUGACUCAAUAGUCAGCAUGCCAACCCACAAGCCGAUGAACCGAUUUCAUGGCUUCCCGGUGAAAAUCAGCUAGGUGCUGUAGACAUGAACACACAGAUGCUCAAGGUAAGUUAGAAAAAGACGAAUUAGAAUCGCGAAAGUAGAAUAGAAAAAAGAACUGCGCUGCUUCAGUUCUAAACAUUGAGGUCAGAUUUACUGUAAAGCCAGUUUUUUAUUUGUCAAGAGGUCUUUAUGUGUAUGUCUGUGAGUUGUGCACACAGGUACGAGGCGAAGCCUGGUAACUUCUUCGAUCAUUCUCCACAUUACAGAGGCAGGACCUCUCGUUUGAUCUGGAGCUGGCCAAUUCUGGCUAUUGUAGCUAACCAGCUUGCUCCAGGGAUCUCUUGUUUUUGACUCAUGAAUGCUGGGUGAAGAGACUGCCAUGCCUGUGUGGCUUUUAUAUGAGUUCUGGGGAUGCAAACAAUGGUCUAUUUACAGAAAACAAAGGCUCAUAAUUUUUCUUAUUGCCAUUUCUUAGUAUGUAAAUAUGAAAUUAGCAUAUUUAUGGAUUGUAUUGUAUUAGAAUGCUUGAUUUUAGAAACAGCUGUUUGGGAUGCUUGGGGUAGGAAAGAGACAGGAAAAACUUUCUGGGAAUGCAGAAAGGGGAAGAAGCCCCUUGUCCUGGAAUCCCAUUUGCGAUCUUUGUUGUCUGAGAGAGAAUCAAUUUUGACACAGCUUGUAAACUCGAAAUUACCUGCAAAGGGCUGGAGGGAUGGCUCAGUGGUUAAAAGCACUGACUGCACUUCCAGAGGUCCUGAGUUCGAAUCCCAGCCACCACAUGGUGGCUCACAACCAUCUGUAAUGAGAUCUGAUGUCCUCUUCUGGUGUUUCUGGAGACAGCUACCCUGUACUUAUAUAUAAUAAAUAAAUCUUUAAAAGAAAAAUCACCUGCAGAGAUAGUGCCUGUCCUAAAGGCAUCUCAAAGAAGAUGUCAAAAACAGCAGACCGUGUUUCCACUGGGUGAGAAUGUGUGUGACCCACAGCUUAACGGCUAACGCUCCCCUAGUCCCUAAGUCUAAGCAGCACAUCUCAUGACAUCGCCUUACAAUCUCAACUAACAACAACACACUCCUUGGGCCGGAGAGGUGGCUCAGCAAUUAAGACUGAUUUCUGUUCCUUUGAGGACCAGAGUUUGGUUCCCAGCACCCAUGUUGGGGCUGCCCACGGCAGCCUGUAAUUCCAGAUCCGGGAGAUCUAAGGUCUCUCUGGCUUCUAAACUGUUGGAUUAUUAAAAGAUAUCUGUAGAGUAACAGAAGGUAGAAAAAAGAUAAGCUUAGCCUAACGUCAGGUGCAACCAUUUCAUUCACAUUGAGGGAGCAUCCUUUGUCACCCGUGAGUCUCCACAAGAAGAUGAAAUGCAAGUUUCUUUUUUUUAAAGAUUUAUUUAUUUUAUGUUUAUGAGUACAUGGUAGUUGUCUUCAGACACACCAGAAGAGGGCAUCAGAUCCCAUUACAGAUGGUUGUGAGCCACCAUGUGGUUGCUGGGAUUUGAACUCAGGACCUCUGGAAGAGCAGUCAGUGCUCUUAACCACUGAGCCAUCUCUCCAGCCCCGA